CGUGCAGCAAUUAUUCGUCAAUAUUCACCAGCGAAUUUUAGACAGUUUUAAGAAGGCUACUCAUAUCGCAGACAAGGGUAGAGGAGAGAUAUGUAUAGUGAACUUUGACAGUUGUCACUUAACGAAAAACAAUUGCUGUACGCGCCCCAAGUCCCUUGUUAGUCUUUCAUU